GGUGGCUCAGUGGUAGAGUGCUUGCCUUGCAUGCAUGAGGCCCCUGGGUUUGAAUCCCUAGCACCA
rnacentral:tRNA from 1 species